AAAGAUAUAUGGAAUUUUGGAGACCCCCUUGUAAAAAUGAAAUUUUGUGUAAAUUGCUGCUUACAUAAAACAAUUAUACUAUACUAAAGUAUACUAUAUUCAAAGAGGACAUUUACAUAUGAAAUGUAAAAUUAAUUCAUGUAAAUUUUAAUAUUCUGUAGCUAUUAAAAUUAAAUCCAUAAAAUUAAAUCCGUUGGUUCAAUACUCUAAAAAUAUAAUGCACUUAACACGUGACCUUUUGUUUUGCUCAAUGAAAACUUAGUUUGUGAAAUGUAAAUUCUAUAAUUACUACAUACUACGUUAUCUAAAUCGAAAUCUCUUACAGGAAUUUUUUUUGUAACAUCUGAUCAAAUGUAACCACUAAUGCAUUUCUGUAUAAUCGGUAGAUAGAGCAAAUUCAUAAUGGAUGUUAAGGUCCUCAUUCCAAAAAUAGACAUUUCUUAGAUACUUUAGGAAUGUGAAAUAUUAAUGUAUACGAUGAAUCUAUCUAAUUUGUGUCAUUAGCAUUACUGACUCAACACUGCAUCCAUGAACAGCUGUCUAUACUUUCAAUGAAGAGAUUGUUUAUAAUGGAAUUUAAUGUUCUUUAUCAAAAGGGAGUCAUUUUAUAGAUACUUGGAGAGUAUAAAUGUAUAUGAAUCUUUUUCAUACUGCAUGUUUUACUGGUCCAAAGUAAGUCUAAUGCAUAAUCAGAAUGAUAGAUUCCAGUGAAAUAGAGAUUAUGCUUAAAAUGUCUUAAAGGGACACUAUAGUCGCCAGAACAACUACAGCUUAUUGUAAUUGUUCUGAUGAGUAGAUUCAGUCCCUUCAGACUUUUUUCAGUAAAUACUAUUUACAUUAUAGCCUAGGGAUACCUCCAGUUACCACUUAGAUGGCUACAAGAGGUGCUUCCUGGGGCAGUGCUGCACACUUACAGGAUUAACAUUUAGUGUCUCCAUCAUCUGCAUGGAGACACUGAACUUUCCUCAUAGAGAUGCAUUGAUUCAGUGCAUCUGUAUGAGGAGAUGCUGAUUGGACAAGGCUAUGUUUGGCUUUUGCUGGUUCUGCCUCUGAUCUGCCUUGUUGACAGUCUCAGCCAGUCCAAUGCUUUCCUAUGGGAAAGCAUUGUGAUUGGCUUAGAUCACCACUUCUGAUGAUGUCAGCCAAGGGGGCAGAGCCAGCAGCAGCAGACUGGAAUAAAGGCAAGAUUUUAUUAUAUUCAAGGCUAGAUGGUGUUUUGAACACUAUAAGGUCACGAAUACAUGUUUGUGGGUUAAUAAAAUUGUUUUUGUUUGAACCCCUUUACUAAUUCCUGAUAACUUUCCCAUUGCCAUGGAGUUGUAUAAAUAUGUGUUGAACACUCUCUUCUAUUAUAAUACUCUAUUGGCCACAUUAUCCAAAAUGUCUUUAAUAUGCUACACGUAAAAUUGCUUUGUUAAUGCAAUGAGAAACAUAUCUGUAUAUUGUGCGUAUCAAUAUUCUAUGACCUAUUUCCUAAAGAAAAUCUGUAUAGUUUUGUGUAUCAGACACCCUAAUGACACAAUAUUGUUUAGGUUGUUUUUAUAAAUAUAUAUAUUCUUCUCUCACUCCAAAUCUGUCAUUUGUGUUUUCCCAUUUGAGCUACAGCAUUGCUUUUUCAGAUCCUUUGAGCUGUCAAAAGUAAAUUAGAAAUAUUAAUUGAAAUUAUGGCUGUGUAAUAAAAGAAAACACUAAUGGUAA